AACGUAGGGGGCAAGCGUUGUCCGGAAUCAUUGGGCGUAAAGAGCGUGUAGGCGGCCCGGUAAGUCCGCUGUGAAAGCCCGGGGCUCAACCCCGGGAGGCGGGUGGAUACUGCUGAGCUCGAGUCCGGAAGAGGAGUGUGGAAUUCCUGGUGUAGCGGUGAAAUGCGCAGAUAUCAGGAGGAACACCAAUGGCGAAGGCAGCACUCUGGGACGUGACUGACGCUGAGACGCGAAAGCGUGGGGAGCGAACAGG
rnacentral:rRNA from 1 species